CAGGGGGGGCAAGCGUUGUUCGGAAUUACUGGGCGUAAAGGGUCUGUAGGUGGCUUGCUAAGUCAGACGUGAAAUCCCUCAGCUUAACUGGGGAACUGCGUCUGAUACUGGCAAGCUUGAGUGCAGGAGAGGAACGCGGAAUUCCAGGUGUAGCGGUGAAAUGCGUAGAUAUCUGGAGGAACACCGGUGGCGAAGGCGGCGUUCUGGACUGCAACUGACACUGAGAGACGAAAGCCAGGGGAGCAAACGGGAUUAGAUACCCCGGUAGUCCUGGCCCUAAACGAUGAAUGCUUGGUGUGGCGGGUAUCGAUCCCUGCCGUGCCGAAGUUAACGCGAUAAGCAUUCCGCCUGGGGAGUACGGUCGCAAGGCUG
rnacentral:rRNA from 1 species